rnacentral:lncRNA from 1 species
GCACGGCACCCACCUCGGGGCAGCGGCUUCACCUCCCCGUUCUCCUCCCGGGAGGCCCCGCCGGCCUCUCGGGCCCCACCGAGACCGUGCCUCCUCCUCUCCUUCUCCCGCUUCUCCUUAGGUCUGCGCGACUUGGCGUUAGCCGAGGCAGCGGCGGCGGCGGCGGGCAGGAGGAGAUGGUGAGGCUGAGCGUGCAGCAGCGUAGGAGGGACCAGCAGUUUGCGCGGCACCGGCUGAGACAAGGAAGCGGAGGCUGAGGAGGGAACGGCCGUGCCAGCGGAGAAAGAGAAACUGCUCCGAGAAGAGGACGGGGAGGGAGCAGCAGACAGAGGGGCAAAGCUCCAAGACGCGGGGCUGCCAUAGCUCUGAGGCGAAGGUGCUGCCGGCGGCUGCAGCUGCCUGCUGUUCCCGCCGCUGCCCCCUUCUCCGUUCACUCUCCGCGACGGUGGCGGUGGGGGCCGCGGCAGCGACACAGUGCACGGGGCUCGGCGGUUCCGCCAUUUUGCGCUCCUGUUGUAUUUACUCUCCUCCGCUAGCCGGCGCGGGGCAGGGGGCGGGCCCUCCGCGAGGGGUAGGGAAGGGGCGGAGCGGCCAGGCCACCAGCCGGCAUUGCUCCAUUGGGCAAGCCACGCUGAGGGAUCCACCUAAGAGCCAAUCAAAGGCACAAACAUCAGACGAAGGGGCGGGAUCGCCACAGGGACCCUCUUCGGAGGUCAGAGCUCGGCGGGGUGCGGCUAGUGGCGGAGCGCGCUGCGAGGGGAGGGCUUUCCACUGUCGCUGGCGUGAACUCGCGUGCCCGCAAGCUGGAUUUCGGGAAUGCUCAGUUCAGAAGAGAAAAAAUUGCCGGGAAUCAAGUCCUUCUUUUUGUUAGUCGGUAGUCGAUUGAUGGGAAGUGUUCAAAAUCAUUCGAUGUGGUGACAAGGCUUCACCAGGUACUGCCUUCUAACGAGCUGGCCAUUUCCACAUGUCAGAUAGGACCAACUUGCCUUUUAACUACCCGUGUGAUACUUAAACACUGUUGCCGGUAUCACAGCUUUUCUUCAAAACAGGAUCUUGCUCUGUCACCCAGGCUGGAGUACAGUAGCACCAUCACUGCUCACUGUAGCCUCGACCUGCUGGGCUCAAGUGAUCCUCCCAUCUCAGCCUCCUGAGUAGGGGACUACACACAGGCACCACCAUGAUCCGGUAUCACCAGUCUGUGGGUACAAAAGGAGAGUAACAUGAACGAUUCAAAUUCCACUGGCUCUUGUUCCCAUGGAUUCACAGAAGUUCAGCCCCAUUUCAAAACUUCACAUUUGCUUCUGGGAAGCCCAUUCUGGAAAGUUUCUCUGUGGCCCUCUCCAGAAGGCAGCGCGACUUCCACCCAGCAACACAAGUCUCUGCAGCACCUGCCCCAGCAGCGCCAGCUGAGCCCCGGAAGCUGGGAAGGCUUAAGCUGACUCUUCUGCUGCACAUAGCAAAAAAUGGUCAUUUCUGUAGUUGCAGCUCCAGAUCUACAAUAAUCAAUCUAUAUCCAUAUUUUAUGGGGUUUUUUUGAGACAAAGUCUUGCUCUGUUACUCAGGCUGGAGUGCAGUGGCAUUAUCAUCAUUCACUUGUAGCCUUGACCUCCCUGGCUCAGGUGAUCCUGUCACCUCAGCCUUCCAAGUAGCUGAGACCACAGGCAUGCACCACUAAGCCUGGCUAAUUUUUCAAUUUUUAUUUUUCGUAGAGACAGGGUCUCCCUGGGUUGCCCAAACUGGUCUUGAAUUCCUGGGCUCAAGCAAUCCUCCUGUCCCGGCACCCCGAAGUGUUGGGACUACAGGCAUGAGCCACUGUGCACAGCCCUUUUUGUUUUUGUUUUUGUUUUUUUUUAAAGGUAAUUUCCCAGUGGAAUCCUCGAGAUUUCUUCACGUUUUUGGAAAAAUGAGUUACAUUUUAGAUUGUUUUCCUUUUUGGAAUUUAAUGGUAUACAUUAUAUUACAUAGCUAUGUUGAGCUCUAUUUCUAUUACACUAAAAAGUAGGCUAAUUGUCUUAACUUUCAUCAGUAAUGACAUUAAAUGUGUGAAGAUUAUACUUGGAAUAAAGCACUUGGAUUCAUUCAUUUCUUCAGUAAAUAUUUAUUGAGCACUAGUAUGUUCCAACGAGUGUCUGUCUACAUUCUGGGGACAAGUGAUAACUAAAUCCCUGUCCUCGUGGAGAGUUAACAAUCAACAAACUAACAAACAUUUAAUUUAUGUCAUCAACUCAUUUCCACAAAUAUAACAACAUCUUGACUUCAAGUUUCCUGAGUUUCUGGUCUAAAGAAUUGCUACCUUCAAGAGCUCAAAUCAUUUGUUGGGGAGAGAGGCCUGUGAUAUAUUUUCUCCUUUACAAUGAAAGUAGCUGUAAAAAGAGGAAGAGAAAUUCUGAGGGUAAAGAUAAAAAAUGUUGAAAUCUUCUUUCUGGAUUUCAGAUUGAGUCUCUUGCCCUAAUUGAUGCAAUUUACACUCCAUGCAUCUCCUUCCCUGGACCUUCUCCAGUUCUUGGGGACUACAGAUGAACUUACUUUUAAUGCAUUUUAUGGCAUUUGGAGGCCCUCCAGUGGACAAAUACUAUACCUGAAAAAAAUCCUUUUGCUGUGCUAAAGUGUUCAGGUGUGAAGUGUACUCAUGUUUGCAAAUCACUUUGAAAUAUAUAAACAAAAAUGAAUUAAUGGAUGAAUAGAGUGAUGCAUAGAUCAUUAGACAUGUGAUAAAAAUAACUGUUAAUUGUAGAAUCUAGAUGAUGAGUAUAUUAUAUGAUAUGGCCCACUGUAUAAUUCUUUCAACUUUUCUGUUUGAAUGUUUGAUAAUAAAAUAUUGAAUAAAAAUCUUUUUGCUAAAGAUUUAUGCCUUGUAGUUCACAUUAUUGAAAAUUUUGCUGAGAUAACGUAAAUUACCUUUCAAAAAUCAUCUUAAAAAUUGUCUUAAUAAACAUGGAUUAAUUUUUAUUUUUAUUUUUGAGACAAGGUCUUACUCUGUCACCCAGGCUGGAAUGCAGUGGCAUGAUCAUGGCUCACUGCAGCCUUGAGCUUCCAAGCUCAAGAGAUCCUCCCAUCUCAGCCUUCUGAGUAGCUGGGACUAGAGACUAAUUAAAAAAUUAACCCAGCUAAUUAAAAAACAUUUUUUUUUUUUGAGAUGGAGUCUCGUUCUGUUGCCCAGGCUGGAGUGGAGUGCAGUGGUGUGAUCUUGGCUCACUGCAACCUCUACCUCCUGCCUCAGCCUCCUAGUAGCUGGGAUUACAGAUGUGCGCCACCACGCCUGGCUAACUUUUUUAUUUUCUGUAAAGAUGGGGUUUUGCCAUGUUGGCCAGGCUGCCCUUGAACUCCUGACCUCAAGUGAUUCACCUGCAUCAGCCUCCCAGAGUGUUGGGAAUCCAGGCAUAAGCCACUGCACCAAGCCUUAAAAAUGUUUUCGUAGAGACAGGGUCUCACUAUCUUGCCAAUGCUGGUCUUGAACUCCUGGGCUCAAGCAAUCCUCUUGCCCCAGACUCCCAAAGUGCUGGGAUUACAGGCACAAGCCCCUACACCCUGCCUGGAUUAAUUUUUAAAUGUCUGAAAAACACUUAUUUUUAGAAAGUUUAGACAAUGUAAAUGUGAAAUAGCUCUAUGAAUUCUUUGUUUGAAAAAAGGCUUAUCUUCCUGGAAUAUGUGUUUUAUGAACUCAGGAAAUUGUUAACAAGUUAACUGAAUUUACUUUGCUUUUUAAAUUAGAGAGGCGAUUGUUUGAGAAUUAUUGACAAUAAUUUUUCUUAGAGGAGAUGCAUUGGUCUGGGUUCAACGCAGAGGUAAAAUCUACCCUUAGCUGGUUUAAGCCAAAAGGGACUUAUUACAUGGUAUAUCAUAAAAUUUGUCAGAUUAAAGAAACAGCGUAUAAGCACUUUGGGAGGCCGAGGUGGGCAGAUCACAAGGUCAGGAGUUUGAGACCAGCCUGGCCAAUAUGGUGAAACCCUGUCUCUACUAAAAAUACAAAAAUUAGCUGGGUGUGGUGGCCCUCGCCUGUAGUCCCAGCUACCCAGGAGGCUGAGGCAGGAGAAUUGCUUGAACCCGGGAGGCGGAGGUUGCAGUGAGCCAAGAUCGUGCCACUAUACUCCUGCCUGGGCGGCAGAGAGAGACUCCAUCUCAAAAAAAAAAAAAAAGAAAAAAGAAACAGUGUACAGGCUGAGCUUCAGGAGUGACUCACAAAUCCACUUUAUAGACCUGGGCUAUCAAAACAUGCUGUUGAUGCCAGGAUCCGGAAGCCAGCCCCUACAGCCGCUAGUUCCAGAGCCACAUUACCUUUCCUAUAAAACACUCCAUCAGGAAGGAUGCCUCAUAAUCUGUCUCUCUGCCACUCAAUUAUGAAUUCUUCACUAUAUGCAAGUGCUUCUAGAAGUGGUUGGUUGGUUUGUUUUCAGACAGGGUCUCAUUCUGUUGCUCAGGCUGGACUGCAUUGCACAAUCAUGACGCCCUGCGGUCUUGACCUCCUGGGCUCAAGUGAUUAUUUUGCCUCAGCCUCCUGACUAGCUGGGACUACAGGUGCACGCCACCAUGUCCCACUAAUUUUUUUUUCUUUUUCAGAGAUGGAGUCUCGCUAUGUUGCCCAGGCUGGUCUUGAACUUCUGGGUUCAAGUGAUCCUCCCACCUCAGCUGCCCAAAGUGUUGGAAUUUAAAAUUCAUGUAACAGUCUGAAAAGGGUACCUUCUUCACUCUGACUGACGGCCACCUCCUUUCAGACAAUUUCUUUGCAAGUUAUGUGCAUCUGGGUCCACCUGUAAGCAGAAAAUCAGGUUAGGCCCUCAAGGAGCUUGCAAGCAAAUGUGGAAGACAUAUUUUAUAAACAGCUAAUUUUAAAUGAUGUGGAAAAACUGCACAGAAUACAAGAGCUAAGGAAGCCUGAUGGAGAAAGCAGCUGAUUCUGCCAGAGGUCAAGGGAGUGGUACAUGGAGAAGUAGGAAGGCUUUAUAAACAAAGUAAACUUGGUGGACUUUGAAAGGUAUGUCACUCUACUUUUGCUUUUGGAGAAAGUGGUCAGGGUGGGGCCAAAGGAGCAAAGCACAGAGUUGGAAAAUUCCAAGGUAUAUUUGGGGGCUAAAUUUCUGGUUGAAGGUUAGGGUGGAGGAGCGGUGGGAGUGACAGAUAAGGUAGAAAGCUUGGAGCUACAUAAUAGAUGUCAAAUGCUAAGGCCUUUAUGCUCUCAUGGUUAAUUUCCUGGGAAGAAUUACUUAAACAGAGCUGUUACUUCAAUAUAUAAUAUCACCUAACUCCAGUCCCGCCUCCUCUCCCACAUCCUUCAUCUAGUAUAGAGGGAACAAAUCUUCCCUGCAUUGUAACCUAGGACAAGUUACUUAACUUCUCUCUUUAACUUGAUGUCCAAAUCUAUAAAUGGAGAUUGAAGAUAGUGCCUAUAUGGUUAGUUAAAUGAUUUACUUAAAACAGUAUGUGGACACAGUGAGCACCAUAUGGACGCUUGCUACAUAAGUAAGUUGUAGGCAGUGGAUACAGCAUUGCCUAUUAGAAAUUCUCAAAUAAUUGUUUUGAGACAUUUAAAUAAAAAGGAGGCUGGGCACGGUGGCUCACACCUCUAAUCCCAGCACUUUGGGAUACCGAGGUGGGUGGAUUAUUUGAGGUCAGGAGUUUGAGACCAGCCUGGCCAAGAUGGUGAAAUCCUGUCUCUACAAAAAAAAAAAACAAAAAAAUGAGCCAGGCAUGGUGGCACGUGCCUGUAAUCCCAGCUACUCGGGAGGCUGAGGCAGGAGAAUCACUUGAACCCAGGAAGUGGAAGUUGCAGUGAGCCGAGACUGGGCCACUGCAUGCCAGCCUGGGUGACAGAGUGAGACCCUGUCUCAAAAAAAAAAAAAAAAGAAGGAUUUUUAGACUUGUGCUAACUCCCAAUCAUGGGCUUAAGACUUUCACAAUAAAAAUCAUUAUGUGUAUAUAUCAUUCUAGCCUUAAAAAACAUAAUUGCUAAAAGGACUAUUAGAAUGCCUUUCUAUUUUACAGUCUGGGUAAAUGCUUUCCCAGACUUAAGAGCUUCUUAGAGAGUUUUAUCAAACAUGCAGGCACAUUUCUGAUUAUUUAAGGCUUAAGACUUUGGAAAUUCUUUGGCAUUUAGCUACAGCCUUUUGACAUUUUUGCUGUUCAUUACCAGUACCGUGCUGUGGAAAGGAAAAGAGAAGGGACACACAAGGUGAUUUUAUACACCUACAAACAGUGGAAAAGUGAUAGUGGAUAGGAAAAAAGUAGAAUCUACAUGAAAUAUUUGUAGAUUUAACUUAUGUUCUGUUCUCCAUUAUUGUAAUUGUUUGUGUCAUACAUUGCUGCAUAAUAAACUACCGUAGGCCAGGUGCAGUGGCUCGUGCCUGUAAUCCUAGCACGAUGAGGGGGUGAAAUGGGAACAUUGCUUGAGGCCAGGAGUUCAAGACCGACCUGGGCAACAUAGCAAGGCCCCAUCUCUACAUCUGAAAAAAUAAUAAAUUAGAAACCUACUAUAAAACAUAACUUUAAAAGAACACUUAAUGAUUUCUCACCAUUCUGCAUGAGGGCGCUGCUGUAUGACUUUCUUCCAUGUGAUGUGGGUUGGGACUUGUUGGGAAUCUCCCCACGUGGUCUCUCAUCCGUCCAUGGCUUAGCCUGAGCUUCUUUACAUGCCAGCAGGACCCCAAGAGACUGAAGCAGAAGGUCUCUUAAGGUCUCAGAACCAGCCCAGAAACACAUCUGCUCAUUUUAUUGGUUAAAGCAAGGCACAAGGCCAGCUCAAAUACUAGGGCUGGGAAAACAAACACUACCUUGAUGGGAGGAGCUGCAAAAUAUUGUGGCUAUGACUUCCAACACACCUCAGUAGCUGAUCAAGUUGACUGUAAAAUUAAAUUGGACAAAAUUGGUAAAAAUUCCAGAUUCUGACUUCUGCCAGACAUUUAUUCCAUUUUGCAUUUAUCCCAUUUGCAUUUAUUCCAUUUGCAGAUCUGCAGAUUAGGAAGUAGACAGAAACAGUAAGAAAAAACACGUGGAUAGUCUUAAUCACUUUUCAAGUUUUUUUUUUUUGGAGAUACAGGUUCUUGCUAGGAUGCCCAGUUUGUAGUGCAGUGGCUAUUGACAGAUGAUAUACCACACUGUGGCCUCAAAUUUCUGGGCGCAAAUAAUCCUCCCACUUCAGCCUCCUGAGUAGCUGGGACGAUAGGCACAUGCCACUGCGCCCAGCUUCAAGAAGUUUGUUUUUUUUUUUUUUUUGAGACAUAGUCUUGCUCUCUUGCCCAGGCUGAAGUGCAAUGCCGCGAUCUCGUCUCACUGCAACCUCCGCAUCCCGGGUUCAAGCGAUUCUUUUGCCUCAGCCUCCCAAGUAGCUGGGAUUACAGGGGACUGCCACCACACCCAGCUAAUAUUUGUAUUUUUAGUAGAGAUGGAAUUUCACCAUGUUAGCCAGGCUGGUCUUUAACUCCUGACUUCAGGUGAUCCACCCGCCUCGGCCUGCCAAAAUGCUGGGAUUACAGGUGUGAGCCACCAUGCCUGGCGAACUCAUAGGCUUUAAAACAUAUGUCUUGGGGACUGGGCGUGAUGUUGUUUUUAACCACUCUGCUUAUGAACUGACUCCAGGAGCAGGGAUAAGAGUGUAAACAACCUACAUUAAGCUUUACUCCAUGGGUAUCUUUAUGUAAGUGUUUUAAAUAGAUCAAGAGGUAUUAAGUUUGAAAAUAAAGAUUUAUUAAUAGGAGUCUAUUAAUAGACUUCUACUGGGAAUAUAAAUCAAAACCAGGUACGGACUAGCUACCUUAACAUGUACUAUGGUCUUGGAUUUAAGUCAUCUAUUCAGUAGACAUUUAUUUAUUUAUUUGUUUGUUUGUUUGCCAGGCUGGAGUGCAGUGGUGCAAUCUCGGCUCACUGCAACCUCCAACUCCUGGGUUCAAGUGAUUCUUGUGCCUCAGCCUCCCAAGUAGCUGGGAUUACAGCCACGUGCCAUCACACCCAGCUAAUUUUUGGAUUGUUAGUAGACGCAGGGUUUCACCAUGUUGGCCAGGAUGAUCUUGAUCUCCUGACCUCGUGAUCCGCCCGCCUCGGCCUCCCAAAGUGUUGGGAUUACAGGCGUGAGCCACCACGAGUGGCCAAUACUUUUUCUUUUACGGAUGGAGUCUCACUUUGGGAAGUCGGGGCAGGAGGAUCACCUGCAUCCAAGAAACCAGCCUGGGUGAUAUGGCAAGACCCCAUCUCUAUAAAAAAAUCAAAAAUUAGUCAUGCAUGGUGGCAUGCACCUGUAGUCCCAGCUACUCGGAGUCUGAGGUAGGAGGAUCGCUUGAGCCUGGGAGGUCAAGGGGGCAGUGAGCUGUGAUUGCACCACUGUACUCUAGCCUGGGUGAAAGAGAAAGACUGUGUCUCACAAAAAAAAAAAAAAAAAAAAAAAAAAAGAGGCAGGGCGCAGUGGCUCACGCCUGUAAUCCUAGCACUUUGGGAGGUUGAAGCGGAUGGUUCACGAGGUCAGGAGUUCAAGACCAGCCUGGCCAAGACGGUGAAACCCCAUCUCUACUAAAAAUACAAAAAAAAUUAGCCAGGCAUGAUGGCAGACACCUGUAAUCCCAGCGACUCAGGAGGCUGAGGCAGGGAAUUGCUUGAAUGCGGGAGGUGGAGGUUGCAGUGAGCUGAGAUGGCGCCACUGCACUCCAGCCUGGGUGACGGAGCGAGACUCCAUCUUAAAAAAAAAAAAAGGGAUGGAGUUUCAUUUUGCCCAGGCUGGAGUGCUGGGGUGUGAUCAUAGCUCACUGCAACCUUUAACUCCUGUCCUCAAGUGAUCCUCCCGAAGUGUUGGGGUUACAGGUAUGAGCCACCACACCUGGACUCAGGACCAUAUUUAAGAAAAUACUUACAUUCAGGCUACACCUGUAAUCCCAGCACUUUGGGAAGCCGAGGUGGGCAGAUCGCUUGAGGCCAGGAGUUCAAGACAAGCUUGGCCAACAUGGCAAAACCCUGUCUCUACUAAAAAAUUACAAAAAGUAGCCGGGUGUGGUGUGCAUACCUGUAAUCCCAGCUACUCGGGAGGCUGAGGCACAAGAAUCGCUUCAACCUGGGAGCCAAAGGUUGCAGUGAGCCAAGAUUGCGCCACGGCGCUCUAGCCUGGGCGACAGUGAAACUCUGCCUCAAAAAACAAAAACAAAAACAAAAACGCUGGGCGCAGUGGCUGAUGCCUGUAAUCCCAACACUUUGGGAGACCAAGGCGGGUGGAUCACCUGAGAUCGGAGUUCGAGACCAGCCUGGCCAACAUAGCAAAACCUCGUCUCUACUGAAAAAAAAAAAAAAAAAAAAAAAAAUUAGCCAGGCAUGGUGGCGUGUGCCUGUAGUCCCAGCUACUCAGGAGGCUGAGGCAGGAGAAUCGCUUGAACCCGGGAGGCAGAGGCUGCAGUGAGCUGAGAUCGCACCACUGUACUCCAGCCUGGGUGACAGAGUGAGACUCCGUCUCAAAAAAAUAAUAAUAAAAAAAAGGCCGGGCACAGUGACUCAUGCCUGUAAUCCCAGCAGUUUGGGAGGCCUAAGCAGGAGAAUCACAAGGCCAGGAGAUGGAGACCAUCCUGGCCAACAUGGUGAAACCCCAUCUCUACUAAAAGAAAAGAAAAAAAAUUAGCCAGGUGUGGUGACGCGUACCUGUAGUCCCAGCUACUCAGGAGGCUGAGGCAGGAGAAUCGCUUGAACCCAGGAGGCGGAAGUUGCAGUGAGCCAAGAUCGCGCCACUGCACUCCAGCCUGGCGACAGAGCAAGACUCCAUCUCAAAAAACAAACAAACAAACAAAAAAGAAAAUACUUAUAUUCAAAAUUAGUCCUACUUUUCACACUUAGCUACCUGAGUCUAUAUAUGCCAAUAUUUCCACUAAAUUUCACGGUCAUUUCUCUCAAAGAGGCUAGUUUAGUAGAGCAGAAAGUUUAAGUAAAUGUACUUAAACAGUAUAGGAACAAAGAGGAAAUGGUUGAUUUGACUUGUUGGGAGACAGGACAAGUUAAGUUUAAUACAGGAAAUGACACUUGAACUAAUCUUGUUAGAUGAGUAGGGCUCAACAGAACAGGACAAAGAACGAUGUUCAAGAGGAAAGGUAUAGGAUGACUAAGGGCGUUGGGGGGCUCUGGAAACUAUAAGUAGCUCAUGGUUGGAGCACAGAUGUGACCAGAGUAAAGGCCAGAGAGAAUAGCAACAGGAAGAUCUUGAACAGGUCUUGCAUGAUCUGCUCAGGAGUCUGGACUUGAUCCUGUAGGUCUUGUUCUCCAAUUUUAUUACGCAACAGAAUCACCUGUACUGCUUGUCUAAAAUACGCAUUCUUUGGCUCCACUCUAAUUCAGGUCCAGAGUAGGAUCUUGGAACCUGAAUUUUAAGAACACUGCCUCAAUUCUAGUGCAGGAGAAUCUGGGCCAG